GCCCGCACAAGCGGUGGAGCAUGUGGUUUAAUUCGAUGCAACGCGAAGAACCUUACCUGGUCUUGACAUCCACAGAACUUNNCAGAGAUGGAUUGGUGCCUUCGGGAACUGUGAGACAGGUGCUGCAUGGCUGUCGUCAGCUCGUGUUGUGAAAUGUUGGGUUAAGUCCCGCAACGAGCGCAACCCUUAUCCUUUGUUGCCAGCGGUUAGGCCGGGAACUCAAAGGAGACUGCCAGUGAUAAACUGGAGGAAGGUGGGGAUGACGUCAAGUCAUCAUGGCCCUUACGACCAGGGCUACACACGUGCUACAAUGGCGCAUACAAAGAGAAGCGACCUCGCGAGAGCAAGCGGACCUCAUAAAGUGCGUCGUAGUCCGGAUUGGAGUCUGCAACUCGACUCCAUGAAGUCGGAAUCGCUAGUAAUCGUAGAUCAGAAUGCUACGGUGAAUACGUUCCCGGGCCUUGUACACACCGCCCGUCACACCAUGGGAGUGGGUUGCAAAAGAAGUAGGUAGCUUAACUUUCGGGAGGGCGCUUACCACUNUGUGAUUCAUGACUGGGGUGAAGUCGUAACAAGGNAACCGUA
rnacentral:rRNA from 1 species